CACAAUGAUCCACACACGCACCGAUGAGCAGAGACUGCUGGGCUGUGUGACGGUCCCCGACUCACAGCUACUGACAGAGGAAGCAUCUAAUUGAUGCCUUAAUGAGAGCAGCUUUUUCUGCCAAGGCUUCCCAGGCAGAAGGAGGGAGCCCAACAAAAUCCCUUCAAACACCGCCCGCCGACAUUCAUACCCUGCUGGCCUGCAUUAAGCUUAGAACUAUUCAGUGUUUCUCCCGCUGAAGUCAAUCAGUUCCACAUAUUUGCCAAGUCUGUCAAAGUAUACACAGCAAUAACAGCCCAGUAACACAUUUCAAAUCUUUGUAGUUACAGCAAUAUUUUGAAGUUAAGCUCAUAUCAAAGCAAUAUAUCCACAGUAGAUUUCCCAAAGCAUGCAAUUCUGUGGUGAUUCUGUGACUGAAUUGCAGUUGCUACACUGGCAGCUCACAGACAAAAUGAGAUGAGGUUAAUUGACUGAGCAACAAACAGAACCAGCAUAUUAGCUCAUUAUUGCUCGUCUUCAGUACGGCCCUGUGCAAACAACUGCUCCCGUGAUUUCUUUACUGUAACACCAAUAUUAGUUUGUCUGAAGACUCAGGAUCUGACCCUACCGUAUUUGUCUCCUGUACAGAGCAGAGCAAACAGGCACUUAACAAAUGGGUCACCUAACACGAACAUAAGAACUUUGCUAAGACUGCAUAAAAUGCAGUGCUGCAGCAGCUGACUCUCUGGUGAAGAAAGAUAAAAGCAGUGCUGCUUGUUCUUUUCCACCCUAUCAUGUCUGUUAACACAAACCAUCUCUUUGCCUUAGAUCUCCUUGCUCUGAGUUGGAAGCUGCUCCAGCAGUCGCACUCAGGAAGGGAAAUGAAGGCCCUGCCCAUCUUGUUCAAAUCGUCACCUUGACAACUUCUCAGACAAAGAGAAAAAUCAAUGAAUUUCAUGCAGUAGUACAGAAAUAACAGACCAGCCAGCAGAUCUGUCGCCUCCCUGCAGGCCGUGCUGACUCCUCAUUUCCUCCAAUAGCUUUUAGAAGCAGCACCAGUGGGCACAGGAAGAGGGCUUUGAUUAAUGCAGCACUGAGCAACAGACCUUCCCCAUGACACAGCCUCAGCCCUCUGCAUCCCUCCCCCACACCAGGGGUUGCUCCUCUCAUUCACAUUUCUACCAUUUGGUGAGCUUAGUUAAAGAACAUCAUGCACUUCUUACCAUCCAAAGACAGCCAGUCAUGCUGGGAGGAAGGCAGGGUUGGCAGAGCUCUGGCUUUGUAUUCAAACACCACAGAAUUGGAGAUGAUCUGAUUGUUGAAGGCAACUUGCAAAGUCACGAGCCCAGUGUCAUGAGCUAAAAGAGAAGAAGGAGCGGUGAGACAGAGACCUCCCUGCAGAAAUGCCCAAGUAGAUCCUGUUGGUGAACUCCCCAUGGGCAGGCUGACAGCAGAUGCAACGAGAGCAGAGGGAGCACUUGGCCAUAUUUUUCUGACUACACAACUGAAGAGUCCAGAAUGUCAAUCUGCAUUUUAAAACAGGCAGGUUUUAAAACCCAUUUAGGAGCCAUACAAUAGGUUACUUUGGCAUGAGGUAGGAUCGCACGUGCCCCAAAAUUAACCGACUUCACAGCAUUUCAAGUAGCAAGCUGGGGCCCAACAAUGAGGAUCGGUUAUUCUGCAUAUAUUGAAAGCCAAGAACUUCCUCUGAAGCCACCAGCUGCAGGAGAGCCAUUCCUUACCUGGGCAGUAGCAGCGCAGUACUCCUGGCUGAAUUAAAGAUGCAGGCACUGAGAUCUGAUCAAACAGACAGCUGUAAUUAUUGCUGGCUUCUUGCCAUGGACCAGUGAUUAGAACUUUCACUCCUCCCUACAAUGAACAGAGGGGAGAAAAGGAAGCAUCAUGAAAAGAGCCCUAUCCAGAGAGGACCUUGCACUGAAAUGGCUGAACAGCAAACAAAAUCACGAGGGCAGAUACAGAUCCUUGGCACCAGUAGCCACCAACAUCCCAGCACUCUGCAGAGCUUGCACAUCUCCGUCCACCUGCCCCACCAGGACUGCUCUGCUCACAGCAGCUGCUGCUGCAGCCUCUGGGACACCUCAUGGUGUGCCCUUCUUUGGCCACCAAACCUUACACUGUAGGAGAAACACAAACAGUAUUCCAUAACAGAGCAUCUCUGUUUCUCUUCA